rnacentral:rRNA from 1 species
ACGGAGGGUGCAAGCGUUACUCGGAAUCACUGGGCGUAAAGGGUGCGUAGGCUGACUUUUAAGUCAGGCGUGAAAUCCACUGGCUUAACCAUUGAACUGCGAUUGAAACUGGAAGUCUAGAGUUCAGAAGGGGCAGAUGGAAUUAGUGGUGUAGGGGUAAAAUCCGUAGAUAUCACUAGGAAUAUCGAUGGCGAAGGCAGUCUGCUGGGAUGAUACUGACGCUGAGGCACGAAAGCGUGGGGAGCAAACAG